CUGCUUCUACCUGCUCUGGUGAGAUGAAGUGCACGUGGGUGUCAAUAGCACCAGCGGUAAUGAUCUUUCCUUCACCGCCAAUAACUUCGGUGCCCACACCGAUCAUGACGUCGACAUCAUCCAUGAUGUCUGGGUUACCGGCGUUGCCGAUCUUCAUGAUCUUGCCGUCUUUUAUCGCGAUAUCAGCGGUGAAGAUGCCUGUGUGGUCAAUGACCGUUCCGUUGGUAAUGACGAGGUCCGGAACCAUAUCGUUACCGCGCAUGCGCGAGUUCUGCCCCAUACCAUCGCGA
rnacentral:sRNA from 1 species